UCUAGUAAAAAUAAAAUAUGACCCAGAACUAAUUGCAAAAGUUUUGAAUCUUUGUUCAUUGAAUAGGUCUGGUAUAUGUAUAUGUCAGAAAAAAAGUUGCACAUAUAACUCUGUGCACAACUUUUUUUACACGCGUUCAAAGUUCACGAAUUUUAACUUUAUAUUUUAAGACCCGAACUGUACACCAUACACGCGGUUUUUUCCUAUGACGUAACAAUUUUACGUAGGCACGCGCGUCAUUGAAAACUUGUCAUAUGAUUUCGUGAAACUUCCGUCGAAACAUAAAUAUCAUUUUUCAUCAAAAAUAGCAUUUAGAUGGCAAAGAUAGGACAUCCAUGAUUUACACACCAAUGGUCAUAUGAUGAUUAUCUAAUGUUCAGCUGUCUCUUGUAUCAAGAUGAUACAAGCCACAUUAACAAACCAUGCUGAUGGAACCAAUAACGAUAUGAAGGGCAUUGCAUUUCGGUAUGUUUAUACUGACUACUGUAUAUUAAAUUAAUAAAAACUCAUGACAAUUUCUCUGUAAAUAUACACAUGCUUGCCAUUAAGUUUUCGGAUAAAGGUUUAAUGUAUUGUUAAAUGC